AUACAGAGGGUGCAAGCGUUAAUCGGAAUUACUGGGCGUAAAGCGCGCGUAGGUGGUUAGUUAAGUUGGAUGUGAAAGCCCUGGGCUCAACCUGGGAAUGGCAUUCAAAACUGGCUGACUAGAGUAUGGUAGAGGGAAGGGGAAUUCCAGGUGUAGCGGUGAAAUGCGUAGAUAUCAGGAGGAACAUCAGUGGCGAAGGCGCCUUCCUGGACUAAUACUGACACUGAGGUGCGAAAGCGUGGGUAGCAAACAGGAUUAGAAACCCUAGUAGUCC
rnacentral:rRNA from 1 species